GAUGAACGCUGGCGGCGUGCCUAAUACAUGCAAGUCGAGCGAACGGACGAGAAGCUUGCUUCUCUGAUGUUAGCGGCGGACGGGUGAGUAACACGUGGAUAACCUACCUAUAAGACUGGGAUAACUUCGGGAAACCGGAGCUAAUACCGGAUGAUAUUUUGAACCGCAUGGUUCAAAAGUGAAAGACGGCCUUGCUGUCACUUAUAGAUGGAUCCGCGCUGCAUUAGCUAGUUGGUAAGGUAACGGCUUACCAAGGCAACGAUGCAUAGCCGACCUGAGAGGGUGAUCGGCCACACUGGAACUGAGACACGGUCCAGACUCCUACGGGAGGCAGCAGUAGGGAAUCUUCCGCAAUGGGCGAAAGCCUGACGGAGCAACGCCGCGUGAGUGAUGAAGGUCUUCGGAUCGUAAAACUCUGUUAUUAGGGAAGAACAUAUGUGUAAGUAACUGUGCACACCUUGACGGUACCUAAUCAGAAAGCCACGGCUAACUACGUG
rnacentral:rRNA from 1 species